AGCUACGUUACAAACACUACCUUAUCUGACUGGAAGUUCGCUAUAUUAAGGGGGCUUUUACGAGGGCUAUGAAUGAAUGAGAAUGAGAAUGAGAAUGUUUGGACUGUGAAUCAGUAUUUUCUAUCGAUCGUUUAAAUUCAGAUGUAUAAACGAAUAUAUUGGGAGGUAGUCAUAUGAAUACAGUCUCUUUUACACAUGUUUAGGUAGCUACUCUCACUGUUGAUGUCAUGGAAUUUCACUCGUUCUCAUCAGCAAAGCCUUUGCUAAUGUUAUCUGUUAGUUAUAUGUAGUGUGGUUAAUAAAUGAGCUGUGUUUCAAACACUAUGUGGCUUUUGCCACCACUGUGUUUUUCAUAGGGUUAUUAAUAUAACAAGGAAGAUGCUCUGCUCUUCAUGUACUUGCAUUUAUGUUAUUGUCAUGCAUUAAAAACAAUGUGUAUGCAUAUGUCACCAAAGGCAACAUCUUUAAAGUCACACAAGGUGAUGGCAGACACAGAGUUGAUUACCAUUGGCAGGAAGGUAACACACCUACCCAGUUUAUUUGGAGUUGCUGUUGCUGCCUGCCUCUUUAGUUCAUAUCAAGGGAACUAAUUGAAUGUGUGCGUGCGUGCGUCUGUGCGUGCGUGUCUGUGCGUGCGUGUCUGUGUGUACAGGUGUCAAACCCCCGUAUCGGGGUGGAGUCGUUGCUGGUGACGGUCAUCAGAAAAGCACCAGCCCAGCAGAAGGCAGGGAGAGCCAGAGUCUGGCCGGGGAAGUGCUUCAGACUCUAGACAGAGAAGGCCUACAAGACAUAAAUGCAGUUGGAAAUUCCUCGUGGGGGAGAGCUGCGCGUCAUCGGAGUGCUACUUGGGAGCGUUCCUGGUGGAUGGACCAGCGCAGAACCGUCUCCACGCUUGAAAGUGACAAAGCGGGUCCCUGCCACACUGGCCGGUAGCGACUUGCUGUCUGGAUUGUAUACUGGAUUGGGAUGACUCCUCUUUGGUGUGGGUUGAUCUAUUGCAGUGUUUUUUUUUUUCUGUGGAUUCUAUAUGUGGGGCGUGGUUUAAGUAUUGCAAACUGAUAAUACCUUUUUGGGGGAAGGCAUGUAUCUUGCUUUUGUGUGGACAUUGUGUGGGGGUUUUCAUGUUAGACAUGUUUGGCCAUUAGUUGGCUUUAUGCCUAUCGCCUAGUGAGGUUCUAUGUACAGUGAAUCUGUGCCUACAGUCCUGUAUCCAGUCUGCUUGUGGCAAAUAAACAUUUGUAUAACCAUUUCUGAUUCUGAGUG
rnacentral:lncRNA from 1 species